AAAUCGGCGCUAAUACCUCAUAAUGCAGCGGACCCGCAUGGGUAUGUUGUUAAAGGUUUACCGCCUUGGGAUAGGCUUGCGUCUGAUUAGCUAGUUGGUGUGGUAACGGCACACCAAGGCUACGAUCAGUAACUGGUCUGAGAGGAUGAUCAGUCACACUGGAACUGAGACACGGUCCAGACUCCUACGGGAGGCAGCAGUGAGGAAUAUUGGGCAAUGCACGAAAGUGUGACCCAGCAACGCCGCGUGGAGGAUGAAGGUAUUCUAUAUCGUAAACUCCUGUGAGAGCAGACGAAAGACAGAUUAUUAAUUUGGAUGACUGUAUGCUCAGAGGAAGCCCCGGCUAACUACGUG
rnacentral:rRNA from 1 species